rnacentral:misc_RNA from 1 species
UUAAGUUCAGCGGGUAGUCCUACCUGAUUUGAGGUCAGAUUGAGUGAAUUUGUCCGGAGACGGCUGUGAGCCCCUUCACGGUCCAAGGCCCGACCGACGCCAGCGAGUUUUUUCAUUAUCACGCCAUUUCGUCUGUGGAAGGGACAGAGGCCGGAACGAGGCUAAUGCAUUUCGAGACGAGCCUUCAUGAAAGACGGCAA